rnacentral:lncRNA from 1 species
UACAGUCCUCAGAAAAUGACUACACGUGUGAUGCUGUCAGCUGGGCUCCGCAGCUGGAAAUGUGCUCCGUGAAGAAGGCCCAGAGCUUUCUCAGCCCAGUGCCUCCAGCACCCAGCACUGGGCAAGGAAGAAACAAUCCUGGUCUCCUGUUAAGACUGCAGACUUGAGGGUUGGCCUAUGGGGUUUUAAAAAAAUUUAUUGUUGCUUUAAUUGAGUAAACACAAAAAUAAAUCAUAGUCUGCACAUGAGAGUCGAUGUGCUAGCUGGCUGUGUAGAUCUACUCAGGCUGCCGUCGGAAAGCACCACAGACUGGGCGUCUGAAACAACAGAGUGCUUUUCUUACGUUUCUGAAGUCCAGAAGUCUGAGAUCAGAGUGGCAGGGUCAUCUCCUCGGAGGCCUCUCUCUCCGUGGCUUGUAGAUGCCGUCUUCGCCCUGUGUCCUUGCGUGGCCUUCCCUGUAUGUCUGUGUCCUAAUCUACUUACAAGGACACCAAUCAGACUGGACCAGGGCCCACCCAGAUGGCCUCCUUUCACCUUAAUUAUCUCUUUAAGGCCCAGUCUCCAAAUACAGUCACAUUCUGAGUAACUGGAGGUUAGGACUUAAAUAUGGGAAUUUUGGGGGAGGAUGUCACAGUUCAGCCCGUACCGCUGGCAUUAAUUGUUGUGGAGCAGAGAAGAGGGAAGAAUAAAUUCCAGGCAGGGGGACAUUCAUGGGGGAUGUUAGUGGAAGCCCUCAGGACUGUGUGCUCCUCGAGGGCAGGACGGUGGCCAUUCCUCUCUGUCUACAGCACGCCUCAGCAGGGUACGGCUUUUGGAAGAUGCUCAUAAGACAGCCUUGAAUAAACAAACGAACAAGCGGUUGACUGAGCUAGCAUUUGCUCUAAUAGUGCUGUUAUCGGACAGCAUAAGCCAGCGGGAGAGCUGCUCUCUGUGGUUUUCUCGGGCGCUCCUCUCUUGUGCAGGGUCAGAGAGCAAGGCUCCAUGUUCCUCAUUUGCCUGCAACAAUGGCCAUCAGGAUCACAGCUUUCCAACCCAAUUAAACAUUUGGGUGGUUGGGACCGGCCCAAGGAAAACAGGAGUGUGCUCAAUCAAAUCUUUUAUUUGGAAAAUCUUUUUCAGCUGAGAGACCUGGGCCCCUUGUCAUUGCCUGGCUCUAGGAUCCUCUUGGUAAAAACCAGAGUGGAAAGUUAGGAAAAGACAACAACUGAGACUUAAAAAUGAUAAUCCUUCAAAUCUGUUAAAUACUUUACAGUUUUUACAGACGGCUUUCUCUUCCAUGAUUGGAUCUGACCCUUGAAACAACCCUGUGAAGUGGGUGACAGAAAGAGUCGGGCCUUCAAGGGGUGGGUUCCAGUCCCAGCUCUGCCGCUUCCUGGCGCUGAGAACUUGGAGAGUUGACACAGUUCUUCAAGAUCCAAUGUCCUCAUUUGUGUGAUGGAGAUGAUAAUGCCUACCCCGGAAGAUGGCUUUGAGGAUUGAUUGAUCUCAGAUGUUCGAAAGAGCCUCAGUCAAAAAACGGACAAAAGGCUUGAACCGGCGUUUGAACCCCCUGUCCUCACUCUCCCUCCGUUGCCUUUUGUAAAAUGGAGAGAAUACAGGAAUUGUUUCACGGGAGUGUUGUGGUGAUUAAAUGAACAAUGCAUGGAUAUAACAAGUGCUCAUUAAAGGGAGUUAUGGCUAUUUUUUCAGACUGAUGCCUUUUUAAAAAAAUGAGACAGUUACUAGUUUCCUUCUGAAUGUUUCAAACUUGAAAUUGUCUUUGACUUAAAAAAAACUUACAGCUUCCAAUUCAAGAGAAAUGGACAGACACAUGGAAACAACGCCAGACUGGGAGCCGAGUCUGGGCUCGGGUUUGGUUCUGACGCUUCCUGGCUGUGAGGCCUCAGGUUAUGCAAGAUGACACACGUUAAGAGGCAGCUCCUGGAAAUCUACCAGGAAUGUUGAUGGAGCAAGCUGGACAUACAAGGCUAACAGCAGCCCAGGAUGACAGAAGCCUGGCUCAGACCUGUCUCUGUGCUCCGCCUAUGUGGCAGUCCAUAGCCACCUCAUUGCUCAAAAGGAGACCUUCUUCUCAGUUACCUGACAGCUGGCUGGCUACCUCUGGAAAUGUAUUACGACCUCUGAGAAGGGUGAACUGGAGAAGGAGCAGCAGAAGCACCGCAUCAUUGCAUUGCCAGGCCGGGAGAAAUAACAGUGUCUCCUUGCAGGAACUGUUUAUUCCCAUAGUGCUUUGAUUUAAGCUUACAAGGAGAAUGGCCAGUUACGAGUAAUUUCCCUGAAAAUUCUGUUUUAUCUGCCUGGAGGUCCUUAGUGCUAAACGGUUAUGGCCCACAUCUGGAGAAGCCUGAGGGGCCCCUGGACAUCUUGGCUCCCUGGUUUCAAUCAAAGUGCCUUAUCAGCCUCUCACAAGUGUUUGCAAAUGUAGAAAUGAAUUUGUGAAGGAGCAAAUGGAAAUGCAGAGCUGAAAGAGAUCCUUUGAUCCAAGCCCCUCAUUAUAUAGAUAGGGAAAGGGAGG